rnacentral:sRNA from 1 species
UUUAAAUAUGAUUGGCUCCUGUUAUUCACAGGAGCCAGUGCAAACGCAACAGUUCUGUUAUCCAACCCGAUAAUUUCUCGUUGUCUUAAACAGAUUUGUUGCGUGUGCUUCAAAUUAAGUUAUGGAACUUGAUCGCACAUGAAUACUUUAUUAGUAAACCAGUUACAAAAGAAACUGGGCUAUACUUUUACGC